rnacentral:misc_RNA from 1 species
UCGAGAUCUCUCCCUGUUUUGAUAUUUAUUGAUACUUAGUAACAAAGCUUUCUACAGGUUGGCAAAAGGAACUCUUAUUAUAAUUAUAGUUUCAAUGAGGAAGACAUAAUCUGGAAAGGAGAAGCUCAACAAUGGAGUCCUCAAAGAUUUGUUUCUGUAUUCCUCGCCACAAAAAUGGCCACAAAGCUGAUGGAGGAUUGGAGAAAUCUUCCAAAUCAAAGUCUUCUCGCUGCAAAUCUCGCCAAGGCGCAAAAGGAGGUAAGCAUUCCUCUAGUAGUGAUAGUAGUGGAAAUGGAAACACAGGUGAUGCAAGUGCAGGCAGCAGCGCUGCCGCCACUGCCGUGGCUGCUGUUGCUGUCACGGCAGUGACCACGGAUGCCUUUGAUGAUGACGGUGGCAGCACCCAUGCCCACGGUGGUGAGGGAGGCGGUGGGGGUGGUGGAGAUUAGGAAAUUGGAGGAUCGGAGUGUGUAUUUUUUUCUUUUUCCUUUUUCUCAUUGCAUCUGUUUGGUGAUCCCUUCUGCUGGUUCUUUGCUGAUAUUUGGAUGAUGUGUGGGAGUUUUAUAUUUGUUUGAAAUACAUUAUAUGAUUAUGACCAUCUGGGUCUUAGUUUCUUCUACUAUAUAUAUAUACACAAAGAAAACUUUGUAUCGUCUUG